rnacentral:rRNA from 1 species
CCUACGGGAGGCAGCAGUGAGGAAUAUUGGUCAAUGGACGAGAGUCUGAACCAGCCAAGUAGCGUGAAGGAUGACUGCCCUAUGGGUUGUAAACUUCUUUUAUAUGGGAAUAAAUUGUUCCACGUGUGGGAUUUGGUAUGUACCAUAUGAAUAAGGAUCGGCUAACUCCGUGCCAGCAGCCGCGGUAAUACGGAGGAUCCGAGCGUUAUCCGGAUUUAUUGGGGUUAAAGGGUGCGUAGGUGGAUUGUUAAGUUAGUUGUGAAAGUUUGCGGGUCAACCGUAAAAUUGCAGUUGUAACUGGCAGUCUUGAGUACAGUAGAGGUGGGCGGAAUUCGUGGUGUAGCGGUGAAAUGCUUAGAUAUCACGAAGAACUCCGAUUGCGAAGGCAGCUCACUGGACUGCAACUGACACUGAGGCUCGAAAGUGUGGGUAUCAAACAGGAUUAGAUACCCCGGGUAGUC